rnacentral:lncRNA from 1 species
AAAGUAACCAACUAUCCUUAUAUUUAAAUAUUUCAGAUUCUAUUAUUAUCAUAGUUUCUGUAUUAUAUUGUAAAAAAUAUAAUAAUAAUAAUAACAGUAAUAAUAAUAAUAAGUAUAAAGUUAUUAUAUUAUUGAAAGUACAGAGUAUUUAAGGUUUUUAAUAUUUUGAUUUUUGAAUCAAAAAAUUUUACUGCUGAGAUGAUAGUAGUUUUUUCUAGAAUUAAGUGAUUUCUACGUGAUAAUAGUAUAAAUUUAAAAAUUAGGUAUGAUAAAAAAGAUUGAUCUAAUAAUUAAAAAAUUAAAAGUAUUAGGUUAUGUGUUAGUAGCUUUAUUCUAAUAAUAAUAGUAGUUUAAUUAA